CCUACGGGGGGCAGCAGUGGGGAAUAUUGGACAAUGGGGGGAACCCUGAUCCAGCCAUGCCGCGUGUGUGAAGAAGGCCCUCGGGUUGUAAAGCACUUUCAGUGAGGAAGAACGCCUGGUGGUUAAUACCCAUCAGGAAAGACAUCACUCACAGAAGAAGCACCGGCUAACUCCGUGCCAGCAGCCGCGGUAAUACGGAGGGUGCGAGCGUUAAUCGGAAUUACUGGGCGUAAAGCGCGCGUAGGUGGCUUGAUAAGCCGGUUGUGAAAGCCCCGGGCUCAACCUGGGAACGGCAUCCGGAACUGUCAAGCUAGAGUGCAGGAGAGGAAGGUAGAAUUCCCGGUGUAGCGGUGAAAUGCGUAGAGAUCGGGAGGAAUACCAGUGGCGAAGGUGGCCUUCUGGACUGACACUGACACUGAGGUGCGAAAGCGUGGGUAGCAAACAGGAUUAGAUACCCUGGUAGUC
rnacentral:rRNA from 1 species